rnacentral:rRNA from 1 species
GACGAGGGGUCCAAGCGUUGUCCGGAAUUAUUGGGCGUAAAGCGCUGUAGGCGGCACGUCAAGUCGCGUGUGAAAUCCCCAGGCUUAAACCGUGGGAAGUGCCGUCGCGAAACUGACGAGCUUGAGUGCCGGAGAGGGUCGCGGAAUUCCCGGUGUAGAGGUGAAAUUCGUGAGAUAGUCGGGAAGGAACACCAGUGGCGAAGGCGGCGACCUGGACGGACACUGAC